GGUUAAAAGGAGUCUCCAGAAAUUGAAUUUUGGUCAGUGUAGUGUCCUCUGAAGACAGCUGUGUGUGUGUCAGCAAGUAUAUUUAGACAUGUCGACAUGCCUCCACAGGCAAUCCUGUUCAGCGUUACCAUGGAAAUGACAGAGCCAAAUUGUCAGUUUGUACUAGAAAAGAGGGACCACGCCGAGCUAUUCGAUCUCAAACAUUGUUUUUACGCUGUCAACGCUUUGUACCCGCCAAUCUCCCCGUUCAGCCCGUGUCCCUGGUUAUCGCCGCUCCUCUUUCUUCGUCGCCACUCAUGCUCGUCCUUCUGGAUCUGAUGCUGCGUCUCCCCGCGGUUGCUCCUUGCUGUGAGAUCCUGACUAUCAUCAUGACCAAAUAUAUAACCAUGGUUACAAAGAAAUCCUCAAGACUACGUUCGGACAAGUGAUCAAACAAAACAACUUUAUAGCAAAAAAAUAAACUUUAGGACAGAAAAUUUCCUUUGUAAGAGUUGUGUUUGAAACAUUAAACUGUCAUCAUAAAGCUUCUGUAUCCUAAACUUAACAAAUCAACAGUGCCCUGAAAACUAAAGGGAUCUGUGAUGAUAAAAACCCACUUUCAUUGCAUCUACACUAAAAAAGGAAGAGUCCAUAGAUGAGGAUGUGCACAGAUGAACAG